GGGCCCUUAGCUCAUCUGGUAGAGCGCUUCCAUGGCAUGGAAGAGGUGACCGGUUCGAUCCCGGUAGGGUCCACCA
rnacentral:tRNA from 1 species